AACGAACGCUGGCGGCAUGCCUAACACAUGCAAGUCGAACGAACCCUUCGGGGUUAGUGGCGCACGGGUGCGUAACGCGUGGGAAUCUGCCCUUUGCUUCGGAAUAACAGUUAGAAAUGACUGCUAAUACCGGAUGAUGUCUUCGGACCAAAGAUUUAUCGGCAAAGGGUGAGCCCGCGUAGGAUUAGGUAGUUGGUGGGGUAAAGGCCUACCAAGCCGACGAUCCUUAGCUGGUCUGAGAGGAUGAUCAGCCACACUGGGACUGAGACACGGCCCAGACUCCUACGGGAGGCAGCAGUGGGGAAUAUUGGACAAUGGGCGCAAGCCUGAUCCAGCAAUGCCCGCGUGAGUGAUGAAGGCCUUUCGGGUCGUAAAG
rnacentral:rRNA from 1 species